GACGAACGCUGGCGGCGUGCUUAACACAUGCAAGUCGAACGGAAAGGCCCUGCUUUUGUGGGGUGCUCGAGUGGCGAAAGGGUGAGUAACACGUGAGUAACCUGCCCUUGACUUUGGGAUAACUUCAGGAAACUGGGGCUAAUACCGGAUAGGAGCUCCUGCUGCAUGGUGGGGGUUGGAAAGUUUCGGCGGUUGGGGAUGGACUCGCGGCUUAUCAGCUUGUUGGUGGGGUAGUGGCUUACCAAGGCUUUGACGGGUAGCCGGCCUGAGAGGGUGACCGGCCACAUUGGGACUGAGAUACGGCCCAGACUCCUACGGGAGGCAGCAGUGGGGAAUAUUGCACAAUGGGCGGAAGCCUGAUGCAGCAACGCCGCGUGCGGGAUGAAGGCCUUCGGGUUGUAAACCGCUUUCGCCUGUGACGAAGCGUGAGUGACGGUAAUGGGUAAAGAAGCACCGGCUAACUACGUG
rnacentral:rRNA from 1 species